rnacentral:rRNA from 1 species
UACAGAGGGUGCGAGCGUUAAUCGGAAUUACUGGGCGUAAAGCGCACGUAGGCGGCUUGGUAUGUCGGGUGUGAAAUCCCCGGGCUUAACCUGGGAACUGCAUUUGUGACUGCACGGCUAGAGUGCGGCAGAGGGGGAUGGAAUUCCGCGUGUAGCAGUGAAAUGCGUAGAUAUGCGGAGGAACACCGAUGGCGAAGGCAAUCCCCUGGGCCUGUACUGACGCUCAUGCACGAAAGCGUGGGGAGCAAACAGG